rnacentral:lncRNA from 1 species
AUGAGAAUGUCUACCUUGCUUUUGAAGCCUUCCAUGCAUCUUCAAGCUGCAGAUCAGAGAUGGAGAGGAGAGGAAUCGCUGAGAAGAAAUGAAACACUUCAACAAAUUCACUCUGUGGGACAGUGGAUAAGGAAGAUCACAGUCGUUUGGCCUGGGGAUCUGGAACUUAUUAAUGUCACCGGGCUUCUCCAACCUUCGGUGGCAGAAAUCUGGACUCUUCCUGCUCUUAGGAGACCUUAACAUGAACUGAAGUUCACUAAACUUUGUAACUAAAUAAAGUCAGGGUUUCUGAAAAUACCCUCCUUCCUUUUCUAGUACAACAAUUGGGUUAGUAUUGCUAUGGCCUCCAAGCAGCUGCUUGCUGUCCAAAACGUGAUUUGCCAAACCAUAUCACUUGGGCGGCUUCUUCUCUCAGACAUUAACCUGCUCCCUAAAGUGCUUCAAAACAUGUAGUUUAUAGAGUACUAGAAGGGAACAUGCUGUGUUGUAUUUACUACACAGUGCUGACUCCUGAAGUCCUAAAGGAAGAAAACAUUUGGUUUUGCAAUUUAAGCGAUGUUCAUUAAUUUCAAGGACAAACAAGUUAGAGUGAGGAGGUUAAAAAAUGUGUUAAGUGUUAAUAUUACAUACGGAGAAAGAGAUUUUAAUUGUUCUUUUACAAAAACACUUAGAAUAUUUAUGGAAAUAAAUUUUCAUUCCAUUUACCUCAAUCUCCACUACACUAGAUCAGUGUAGACGUUUAUAUGGACAUAUAAUUAAUGACACAUAUAUGAUCAGGAAAAUAACAAAUGCAUGUAUUACAGAAAACUGUAUGAUCUUGGCCGUGCUUUUUAUUGUGAGUAGUUGAUAAUAUUGAUAGUAGUGGUAUGAUUGUAUGCCUGAAAUGGCAAGAAUUAAAUAGCAAAAUAUUUAAAGCCAAUUUCAAUUUGUUCAAUUCAAUAAGGCUAACAUAUGAGAAGUAUGUGAUUUAUUAGAAUAAGUGGAGGAAAAUCAAAGCUAGUGGGAAAACUUCAUAGAUUCUAUGAUUUUUUUUUUUCUGAGAAGCUACAGAAAUGUGUAAAGGAAGAUAUUUUGACACAAAUGAAAAAAUUCAGUUUAUUUUCAAGCAUUGAAAGAGGCCUCUGAUUUUGCCAGAUUUGACUGCUUAAUGUGCUGAUGUAUUAACAAAUACAUAGCUUCCAUUCCACACUUCCCCUUUCCAUAGAUUAGCAUGUGUAAUGAUUGACACAUUAUCUGUUUAAUUGCCAUGGAAACCCUCCGUCAUAGGUACCAGUGACUAUCUGCAUUUUAAGACGAUGAUGCUAAGACACCGAGCUGAUAAGCAUCAGGCUAGGAUUUUAAUCCAGAGUGUCUGGACUAAUGUCUGCUGCAGCACUUUUCACUAUGAUACAGCGUUCACUCUUUCAUUUUCAAUGCUCUGGAUCUAGCCUGAGACCUCAUGCAUAGUUGACAUAGUUUUUAAAAUUUUUUCUUAGCAUUGCUUUUAACUCUACUAUCUUACAUGACUACUCUAUUUAAUAUGUCUAAAUAACCGUAUAAUUCUCUGAACACUUCGGCUUAUCAAGGUUAAAGCAGACUUUCCAGAGACUGGGACUAAGAAGGCUCACAGGAGAUGGCCUGUUCUGCCUCACAACAGACUGUGGCCCUUAGUCCGUCUCUACUUGGGAAUCACAUUGCUUAGUGUGACUUUUGCUUGUCAAGCUCCAAUGAUCCUGUCCCUCUGCAAUGUCAACAAUAUUUUAUAAAAAGCCGUGAGAACGCCAAAGACUUCUGUCUAUGCAUUCCAAGGGAAACAGUAUGAACAGCGAGAUUUGUAACUAUUAUGGAAGAGAUAGCAUUUAUUAUUGGUCUGAUCGUUGCCUGUAACCACACUUCCAAAGGUUUUAGGGAUGUGUAUGGAAUGAGCGUUAUAUCGAGUUGGUAACUCUAGUUUCCGGCUCCAUAUAAAUCCAGAGCUUUUCGUGUAGAGGAAAAGGAAUUUGCACCCAAUAGAAACCAUACUUUAACUUUUUUCAUUUCUCAUCUUUUCCUAGGCUGGCGAUGGGCAGCUGGAGGCUUCCCAGUAGAGCUGGACAGCAACAGUGGGAACCUCAGCUGAAAUUUGCUUCCCUCAGACUAGCAUGUGGGCGUGUACAGCAUUUUUCCUGUUACGAAUUGAUGUAGGGGGUCCCUGCCCACUGUGGACCAUACCAUCCCUAGACUUGAGGGCACAAGCUCUCUGAGAAAGGUAGCUGAGUGUGAUUCGGGGAGCAACCCAAUAGGCAGCGUUGCUCUGUUCUCUCUACUUCAGGUUCUCCCUCCACGUUCCUUCAUAGGCUCCGGCCCUGGCUUCCCUCAGUGACAGAAUGCAAGCUCUAAGCUACAACAAAGCCUUUUUCUUCCUGAGUUGGGUUUGGUCACUGUUUUGCUACAGCGACAGAGAAGCAAACUAGACCGAAUCCCGAGCCAAAGUAAAUCUUUGCAAAGAGGGGUUUGAAGUUUAUUGAUGGGAAAAAUACAGUCUCUUAUUACUCAGUCUUGGCUCACACCUUUUAUCACUAUGGUGGGAUAAGCUAUUUCUCAUUUACUAACACUGCAGUCACUUGAAAAAAGUUCCAAUUUCUGUGUGACUAGGGGAUGGAGAUAGAAGAAGCUAUGCUUUGCUUGUUGGAGGCGAACAUUUGUAAAAAUGAGAGCAAAUGUCUUGCUUUCCAGAGACUCACAGAUAAGGGUGGAAUGUUGUCUGGUGACCUUCCUUAGCCCUUAUGCCAAUCCCUAAGACAUUUGCUCAGAAAUUAUAAGAUUGUAC